rnacentral:rRNA from 1 species
GAUGAACGCUGGCGGCGUGCCUAAUACAUGCAAGUCGAGCGAACAGACGAGGAGCUUGCUCCUCUGACGUUAGCGGAGGACGGGUGAGUAACACGUGGAACACCUACCUAUAUGACUGGGAUAACUUCGGGAAACCGGAGCUAAUACCGGAUAAUAUAUUGAACCGCAGGGUUCAUUAGUGAAAGACGGUUUUUCUGUCACUUAUAGAUGGAUCUGCGCCACAUUAGCUAGUUGGUAAGGUAACGGCUUAUGAAGGCAACGAUGCGUAGCCGACCUGAGAGGGUGGUCGGCCGCAUGUGAGCUGAAACGCGGUCCAUGCUCCUGCGGUAAGCAGCAGUAUGGUAUCUUCCGCAAUAGGCGAGAGCUUGGCGGAACGAGGCGACGUGAGUGGUAGAGAUCUUGGGAUCGUAAAGCUCUGUUAUUAGGGAAAAACAGAUGUGUAAGGUAAUGUACACGUAUUGACGGUACCUGGUCAGAAAGCCACGGCUAACUACGUG